AGAGUUUGAUCCUGGCUCAGAUUGAACGCUAGCGGGAUGCUUUACACAUGCAAGUCGAACGGCAGCGCGGACUUCGGUCUGGCGGCGAGUGGCGAACGGGUGAGUAAUGUAUCGGAACGUGCCCAGUAGCGGGGGAUAACUACGCGAAAGCGUAGCUAAUACCGCAUACGCCCUUUGGGGGAAAGCGGGGGACCUUCGGGCCUCGCACUAUUGGAGCGGCCGAUAUCGGAUUAGCUAGUUGGUGGGGUAAAGGCCUACCAAGGCGACGAUCCGUAGCUGGUUUGAGAGGACGACCAGCCACACUGGGACUGAGACACGGCCCAGACUCCUACGGGAGGCAGCAGUGGGGAAUUUUGGACAAUGGGGGCAACCCUGAUCCAGCCAUCCCGCGUGUGCGAUGAAGGCCUUCGGGUUGUAAAGCACUUUUGGCAGGAAAGAAACGGCCCUGGUUAAUACCUGGGGGCAACUGACGGUACCUGCAGAAUAAGCACCGGCUAACUACGUGCCAGCAGCCGCGGUAAUACGUAGGGUGCAAGCGUUAAUCGGAAUUACUGGGCGUAAAAGCGUGCGCAGGCGGGUUCGGAAAGAAAGAUGUGAAAUCCCAGGGCUUAACCUUGGAAC
rnacentral:rRNA from 1 species